GCCAGCCAGGAAGGAGGAGGCAGCCAGAGUGGCCACCACUGUUCUUUACAGCAGAAGACCCCCUGCUGCCAGUGACUGCUCUCAGGAGGUUUAUAACAGUGAUUAAAGCCCUGUUAAUUGUUGCAUGCAUUUCUGGAUUGCUUCAAAGUCAUCGUGAUCAAAGAGUGGAUGGGAGGAAGACUUAGGCAGAGAAGCUAAGAAGUAGGAAUCCUCAAUGCUCAGUAAAGAGUUCGGGAAGGAGGGAAGAGAGAUGUUGGUUGAAAGAAUUCAGGUUGACGUAUACAGACUGUAGUGAGAAUCAUUGUAUUUUCUUUACUUGAUUAUUUUCUUUUCUUUUUUUCUGUUUUCUUAUGUCUCUUGUUUGUAUUUCUGAUAAAACAAUAAAUAUAUUUAUUAAAAGAAGAAGAAGAAGAAGAAGAAGAAGAAGAAGAAGAAGAAGAAGAAGAAGAAGAAGAAGAAGAAGAUUUGACCCAGAUCAAUUUGGGUGAUUCUAAUGCCAUUUUGAGGCCCAUUUUGCUGGGGAAACAGGCCUCAAAAUGGCACUUUUUUUUCCUGGGGAGAGCUGGUCUACCAAUUGUUCUAUGGCAGGUAGACCAGCCCUCUACUCCAGACUUGGGGCAUCAGCCUGCCUCAGAGGACAUGUCUACCUGGUUAGAUCUAUCCUCCAAGGCAAGCAGCCAUAAUAAAACAGCCUAUUCAAUGAUAUUUUCAGCAGCAGGAACAUUAAUUGUGUUCUAACCAUCUGACCAAAAAGCUUCCAUAAUCUGAUUCUCACAAUAUUGCUAAGUAUUCCAAUAUUAGACUGCUUUGGGGGAAAAACAAAACCAGACCUCUGCCUGCCCUUUGAUUUCCAGGCUCAAGAUUUAUACACAUUCUUGUUCGUUGGGUGUGGGGGGAGCAACUAAACUUAAGCUGGUUAGUGGAAGUGGAUAUUUGAAGGGGCUAAAUACUUUGGAUAUUAUGUUGGCCGCCUUUAAGCUUUUAAAAAUCUGUGUAUCUGGCACCAUCUAUAGAGGCUCUUCAAAUCAAUGUCAAGCAUGUCAGUCAGUGAGCAAUGAAAUAAGGUGAGGAAUAAUAUAUGUCCUCUAAAAUGACUUUUUUCAUCAGAGGAAGUGCAGUACUUCAGCACUCGAUAAACAAAAUGUAGUUUAUUGAUAGCAAAUUAAGAUAUAGCCAUUGAACUGAUGAUAACAAACCAAAAUGGCUUGUAAAUAAAAGCCGGCUAUGUAAAAAAAACACACCACAAAAAAAGCCUGCUAAGUUUAGCAGCUGGAGUCAGCUGAAAGUUCCUGCUUGUCAUCCAUUUCUUCUCUAUACAUCCUUUUAUUUCUCUCCCUCCCCCCUAAUCAGUAUUUGUAGGUCAGAAAGCAGAUAGUUAAUGUGUUAAAGUUUAACAUGAACCAUUUUUGUGACUGGACAAUUUCAAGUGCCCUUGUUUUUCUCUGGAGACAUACCAAAAAAUUCACUGUGCAAUUCCUUUGGGGAUUGCAAAUUUUAAUCAGAAUGACAGAACCACACAAUACUUUCCACUCAAGUGAGUUACCUCCCCUAAUGUGUUUCUAGUGUAUCAUAUCUGUAUUCAGACUUAUUUUUACUAGGCUAACUGCACACAAUUAUUUCAAAUGUGAGCUUUUUGUGUGUAUCUAGAUGAACCAUUAAGAAGUAAAAAUAUUGGAAUAGGGGUGGCAUUGUAUUCUGUCAACUGAAAGAUUGGCUUUAUGUUUUUGUAUAGUUUGAUGCUUGCUUCAUGGUCUUAUUGGCUGGUAACAUUAAUGGCCAUAACUCAACAAAAGAAACAGCAUUUUUCCUAAACAGUCAGCAGAUGUAUAUGUGGUCAAGGGGUGCGGGGUGGGAAUUAGUAGAAAUAUUGUGCCAUUUACUAAAUUGAUUCCACUAUAGUCACUAAAAUUUUUGGAAUAGAUUUAUAAAUAUGUCGCUGAGUAUAUUGUUUACAAACUCGCUGGAUACCAACAUGGCACCUUACCUUAGUAGAUUAAAAGUGUCAACUAAAACUGAAGUGUGCAAGGCAUGUUUUGACCACAAAGGUCAAUUUUGUCUGCAUAAGUGAACACUCUUAUUCAAAAAUGCACUAGACCAGACUUUUCCUGUGAUUUGUAUAUCCACUUAGUACUUCCAAAAAAACCAAAACAUAGCUCCUCAAGCAACCAAUGUUCUGCUUAUUGUACUCUGAACAAAUAUGGGUUUAGCUACAAAUAAUCACAUACAGGCUUCAAGAAGUGCCAGAUAGCUUUUCCUGAGUUAGGAAGUCAGCUUGGUUGCAGGCUGAAAUAAACCCAUGGGUAUCACUAGCAUUAGACAAGGGAGACAAUUGUCUGGGGGACCACACUGCCUCAAGGGGCCCCCAGAUGCACGUCACAUGACUCCCCAACCUGCCUGCACCCCCUAUUAAUUAAUAUUGAGUCUCUUGCAGAUCAGCACUUCGACAGUAGCAGAGAGUUAAGAAAGAGUUAACUUUUCUCCUGGCCAUAUUGGUUCUAUUGGUGUCUUGUGCUCCUUCCCUGCUUGGAAUUUGUAUGGAACUUCAGAGCCCAGGAAGCCGGCUGUUGGCUUGUUGGUCUCCCUCCAAGAAUGAAAGUAAGAAGACAUUUUGUAAAAAUCAACCCUUUGCUGUUUGGUUUUUGUGUGAUUUGUCCUCCUUGGUCAAGCUAACAUGUUGCUCAAUCUCUCCCCCCACCCCCAUGAACCUUGUGUGUGUUGUACAUGUGAGAGAAGUCCCAUCCUCUGUGUGUGUGUAUGUGUGUGUGUGUUUGAGAGAGAGAAUUCUUAAGCUUUAAAAAAAAAAAACAUUUUAAGUAUGCCAAAAGUAUUCUAGUGCAAACUUGUAAGAAAAACGCUGCCCAUCCCAACAUUAGACCUUGUUUUGACGAAAUUAGUUAGUGCAAAAGUAUUAAAAGCUUUGAAAAGAAUGGGGUGGGGGUGGGAUGCUCUGACAAAAUGGAUGUUUGGGGGUUCCCCCCCCCCUUCUUAUUCCUGAAGUUACACUGCUUAUAGCUCUAAACUGGUCUCUCUCUGUGUUGCUUUUUCUCCCCCCGCCCUUAUUAAAAAUAUUUAUAUGCUGCUUUUUUAGCAACAGAGUUCUCACAAUGGCUUAAAUAGCAAAAUAUAAGAAAAUGGUUCUCUUAACAUGUUUCCCCUUUUAAGCAUUACUAUCUAUAAAUUUAAUUCCCUUAGGUAGCAUGUGUGCCCAGGAUUUGGCGGCAGAAUUCUUGUGACACGUUGUGAGAGUUCCGCUGCCAAAGGGCCAGAGUUGCAGGCAGAAAAAAUGGCAGGGGGCGGUAGUGGCGGCCCACAAAAUGGCCUGAGGUAGCAGGCUUGGCUGGCCGCCAGGAGGCGGUGGGAUGACCUGGCUAGGUCAGGCCAUCCCAGGUAAGGACAAGGAGGCAGUGGUGGCCCAGCCUGGCCUGGCUGCUGGGAGUAGGAGCGGGA